AACGAACGCUGGCGGCAGGCUUAACACAUGCAAGUCGAACGCACCGGCCGGGGUUAGUGGCAGACGGGUGAGGAACGCGUGGGAAUCUACCCUUCUCUACGGGAUAGCUCCGGUAAACAGGAAUUAAUACCGUAUACGUCCUGAGGGAGAAAGAUUUAUCGGGGCAGGAUGAGCGCGCGUUGGAUUAGCUAGUUGGUGGGGUAAAGGCCUACCAAGGCGACGAUCCAUAGCUGGUGUAAGAGGAUGAUCAACCACAUUGGGACUGAGGCACGGCCCAAACUCGUACGCGAGGCAGCAGUGGAGAAUAUUGUACGCUGGGCCCAAGCCUGACCCAGCCAUGCCGGGUGAGUGAUGAAGGCCCUAGGGUUGUAAAGCUCUUUCAGAGGGGACGAUAAUGACGGUACCCACAGAAGAAGCACCGGCUAACUUCGUG
rnacentral:rRNA from 1 species